GGGCGGGAGGAGGCCGCGCCCCUUCGGGAGCGCGCACCGCCCCGAGCGGCCGCGGGCCUCAGUCACCUGGUUCAGGCUGGAGUGUCUGCCGCUUUCCUCCCGGAUACGUGACUGCGGCUUUUCGGGGUUUUUCGUCUUGAAACCGACGGUGGGAGGGCUGGAGCCAGCUAGAUGCCUAAGAGACUCUCUGCGGUGGAAACUGGAAGUUUAGGGAGGUGGAGCAGCGAGAAGAAAGAAGGGCGAGUCUCUGGAACCGGCUGUAACCCAGCAGCUGGCUCGGGCCGAAGGAUAAACGGUAGCUGCUGCAGCGGACACACCUCCGCGCGCGAGGCGGGAACUCCGAUGGCCACACCUGCGCCGCGUAACCCGAGGGGGUAGAAUACAGCUUGUAAUAAUACACACCAUAUAGACCAUGACAGAUGUAUUAUUAAGGUUUCACUGAAGACGGGAAAACCUAAAAGUGUGACUGCAGGUUUAAGAAAAUGAAGCACACUUAACACGUUAAAAGCGGAGACAACCUGAAUGGCCGGUGCUGCGGAGAGCGCUUCUGUGAAACAGAUCAUGCACAUG